AAACCAUGCAUUAGGCAUUUUUUAAUUAACUCCUUGAAUCACUCCUAUGCUUCAUAUAAUGUCCAUCCUCAAAUUGUCGAAAGGACAUAAUAUCUUUCCUCAAUUU
rfam:Gossypium raimondii Chr07_contig_837, whole genome shotgun sequence.